GGUGAAGUAUUUUCAGCCAAAAAUUAGUAGAGCAGAAUUUCAACCAGACAUAAAACCUGUGUGAUUGACUAGAGGCAGACUCAUGAAUAAAGCUAAGUUAAAAGCUAACAGCUCUGACAAUUUUUUUUUUCUUUAACUCACUGAUCAGUUUUUUUUUUAGAAAGAACAAUGAAAUUUAUUCCUGUCACAUGUUCAAGAUGGUCAGAACUUUUUGCAACUUUAGCAAAGACUAGGUUUCUCACAUUUAUUGUCUCCCUGAGAGAAAUGUAGAGGUAUCAGUGACUUUCAUGGCAAAGUAUUGCAAUCAGGAAUCUCUAGUAGGAUCAGCAGCAGCUACAACAGUUACUAAUGGAAGAAAACUAUUUCCCGGGUCACUGAAGAAAAAGAAAUAAAAGGUGUUCAUUUUGUUCAUUUAAGCCUGGAACUGCCACCAAAGUGAUUGGAUGCGGACAUGCAGUGCCACCUCUCUGCAAGGAUAACUCGCCCCUGAUGUCUUUGCGCAGAUGUUUGGGUUAACUUGCACCCUCACACUGCAGUCCAGGAGCCAGCAGUUACACAGGCCAGCAUAUGAGUUGGUUUGUUAGGAAACUGCAGAGCUCCACUCUCUUGUGAAAUAUAUUCUUGAACGUGACACGCCGCCGAUUCUAACCUAUGUGGAAAUCAUGCAGGAGCUGAAUUAUUCCUUGGCAGAGGCACCUACAGUGCUUGAAUGUCCCCACUCCUCAGCUGUGGUCUCCGCCCUUACCUGCCUGUUCCUCUGGAGAGAAGAGUUGUACAGCCACAGUGCAUACCGGGAGCACUUUGAGAGCUGGAAGCAAAAUUCUCUGCAGCCUAAUUUAAGAAGGCUCUGUGGUUGGGAGUGAGAAUUUCUCGCAUUUUUUUGGAUCGAGUUUAGGAAAAGAUCAUAGCACAAAAAGUCUCAUGGAUUAGACAGACACUGCUUUAACUUCCAUCAGAUAUUCCUUCAAGGUUUCACACAGUGCUCUGGACCACUGAGGAUUGCAUGAGCUUUUAAAGUUCUGGUGAUUUCAUACCGUUUUUCAGCAGAAAAUAUUCACCAUUCCCACAUCUUUAUUUAAAAAAAAAAAAGAAAUCUUCAAUUAAAACAGGCAAUUUGCUUCAGUGAAAUGCAGGAUUUUCAUAGUUUGCUGGAGCUUCAGAUCAGGAUGUAGCUUGCGCAUAUUCCAUAUGUGGCAUAAUUUCAAAGAGACACUAUGUGAAUUGAAGAUGAAAGUUUGUGUUUUAAAUGUCUAUCCCAUGCUUGCUAUCCAUUGAAAUAGGAGAUAUAAAGAGAUGAACAUUAGAGGGGAAAAACCUCUAUGGUUUGAUAGCUUAUAUUGAAUUUAUAUUGCUGUACUUGACUGGCAAUUUUGUGCUUUCAGGUCACAUCACAGCAAGAUGAUCCAUCUAUAUCUAUAUACAUAUGGACAUAGAAGAAAUGUAUACAAAUUAAGGAUCAGAUAUAAUCAGGUUAACAUAGCCAGUUUGAUCCUAAGUGGAAUUAAAAAUCUACCCAUUGCCUUUAAUUUAAAGUUAAAUAUGAGAGGCAGAUGCAAACUCUACCUGCUGUGAGCACGUUGUAGCAAUUUGUCCAAGAUAAUGAAGUUUUUCACUUGCUUAUUGUAAAGUUUUAGUAAUCUGGAAAACAUACAUGAGGUACUUUAAUUCCUUAUUAAUUAGAAUAAAUUUGAUAUGAGUGGUAUUGCUGGAAUCUGA
ensembl:lncRNA